rnacentral:tRNA from 1 species
AAUAGGGUGCCUGACUAAAGGGCUAUUAUGAUAGAAUAGAGCAAGUGGGGCUCCACCCCUAUUA